GAGGAGGAGGAAGUGGUGGUGGUGGUGGUGGCGGAGGUGGGCAGAGCAAGAGAAGGAAACCGACAUGCAGUUUGUGUCAUGAAGAAGGUCACACCAAACGAUCAUGUCCACAGAAAUGAGUCUCCAGAUACAGAAUGAGGGACAACUCUGGAAAAUAGAAAGCAGUCAGUACUAUUACAGCCUUAAAGACAAUACAGAUUUUAAUUCAUCUUAUUGUGUAUAGUAUCCAUGUCAGUUCUGUUGACCAUUUGAGAUACUUUUUAUGUACUAUGCUUUGCAACUAAUGACGAGUCUCGCAGCAUGUGUAAUUCUUGCUUUUUGUACAUUGACUCCUCAUUUCAUGAAGUUUAUAGCUGUGAGGUAAAAUUAAUGUAAUAAUGUAAAAUUAUUUGAAUAUUGAUAGCACAUCUAGAAAUUUGAAUAACAAAUUAUGAGAUAUAUGCUGUGCUAUAUAUCACCAUAAAUGAAAUCAGGUUUUCAUUAUAUAUUAUCUUAAUUGUAAGGGUGAGAAGUCAAUAGUUGGUACUUUAAGGACGCAAUUAUAUUGAUAUAGUAAAUCUUAUAUAUUAAUCUUGCUGUCAAGAAGAAAAACAAAGUUUUCCUAACAAGUUAAUCCAAAACUGUCUUUAUUAGGUCUCUAGUGAUAAUUGCCCAUUUUUGCCCAAAUUCUGUUUUGGCCAACUCUACCGGUAGCCAAAAUUAGUAGAUUCUACUCUUAUGUUCUGUUAGUCUACAUCAUGAAGGAGUAUAAGACGUUAUUCAUAAAGGGACUGGGCUAUUUUGGAGGUAUUGGGAAUGGCAGGGAGGGGGGGGGACAUUAUACCCCUCCCCCUUCUGAUCUAGACUACUGCCAUUCACAUUUAUGAAAUUGUUGGCUUUCAGUGUUCAACAAUUUUAGCUGUUGAUCAAAUGAAACUCACUCCAUGAGAGAAUGGACAUUUGCUUUUUAAAAAUCUGGAUAUUUAUCAUGUAAUAUCAGGGUGGAAACCUUGACCAUAUAAAGAAUAGAGUACUUGAAGGACGAUGAAAAUACCUCAUUAUUUACCCUAUUUUGCAGUUAAUGAAGGAAUGGUGUUUUAGUCUUGUGCUAAAUCAGAUUUUCAGUCCUUUUAAUUUGCAUCAGCUGAUAUUUGAAAAUUAGCUAAUAAUGAUAAUAAUAUCCCGCAUUUAUAUAGUGCUUAACACAUAGGAAUGACGUCUCUAAUCGCUUUACAGAUAUAUUAUUACCCUGGUCAUCGGAUCCUUGCAGCUAGGUAUAUAAAAUUCUUGAUGUUAAAAGGUAUGUCAAAAAAAUAUGUUAUCUUCUCUGGUUAGACAAAGAGGCAUUAUAAAAAAUUAUUAUCAGAUCAUGGAUAUACAAACAAUUCCCUGAUUAUACAAAAAAUAAAACUAAACAAAGUCAUGAUUGGGUUAUUUUCUAAAUACAAAAAUUGUAAUGACUUUUACUACAAUUGUCACAUCUUGCUUAGAUAAUUGUAAUUCCCUUCUCUUUGGUCUUUCCACAAAAUUGACCUCAAAGCUCCAGCGCAUCCAAAACACUGUGGCUCGUCUUUUUUUCCUGUGUCCCUCGUUCUUCCCACAUUACUCCUGUGCUUCGUAAACUCCAUUGGCUUCCUAUUCUCGUAUCACCUACAAAUACUUCUUGCUUUCAAGUCAUAUCGUGGUAUAGCUCCUUCAUACCUUUCUGAACUCCUUCCUCGAUAUCAAACUGUUUGAGUUCUAUGUUCUGCUUCUCAAUCUCUUCUUUCUUGAUCUCAUACUUCUUUAUACAAACAAUACGGUCAACGUUCUUUCUCUUAUGCAGCUUUUUGUUUCUUUGGAACAAUCUCCCCCUACAAAUUUGCAAUGCUAACUGUGUUAAUACAUUUAAAGUUAUGCUUAAAACUCAUCUUUUUAAAUCUUAAAUUGAUCAUGUCAUUUGUUUGUUGGCCAAUUUGAAAUGGUAUUUCUUAUUCAUGAUCUGGUGAGGACUAGUUGUAAUUUGUAAUAUUAGUUUUGAUACAUUUUGUAGUGCAAAUUAUUUCUAUUUCUCUUCAUAUUUCCUUUCUCUUAACCGCUUAGAGGCAGUUUGCGGUAUGUAAAAUGAUUAUUAGUAUUAUUAUAUAAACCAUUUUGAGUAUUUUAGUGCACUGUGAUGGGUAACUGAAACAUGUAUUCUGUGUAAAGUUAUUUCACUGUAUUUGUAUUUCAACAUGUAAAUCAAACUAUCUUAUAAUUUGAUAUCUUGUGUAUAUGAAAGCACACAUUUCAUGUUUUGUACUGAUGAUUAAAGUGCAAUUGAUAUUUCAAUCAUUAA